GGCUUCAUAGCUCAGGCGGUACAGCGCUUGCCGCGUUGAGGCGUGGUGUUUUCGUCGCUGGUUCGAAUCCAGCCGAAGCCC
rnacentral:tRNA from 1 species